CGGAAUUCAACUCGAAAACAUAGUUCCGUUUGUGAUAGGUUGGUGACUCAAGAUGGAUAGCACCCACUAAGAUUUUUGACUUUAUCAUUUGUAUGGGAUUAAGUAACAGAGAAAGCGCUACACUAACUUUAUCCCGCAAAUAGGG